UGGGUUCAAUACCCAGAAGAAAGGAAAGAAAGAAAGAAAGAAAGAAAGAAAGAAAGAAAGAAAGAAAGAAAGAAUUGUACUGAGAAUAUUGUAUGUGAUAGGCAUCUGGGCUCUGAGAGUGAGGUUAUGGCACUCUCUCUAACUUCAAGAUGCUCAUCUUCCUUAGGGGAGGCAGAGAGACAGGGUCUCACUAUGUAGCCCAGGCUGGCCUUGAACUCACGGUGAUCCUUCUGCCUCAGCCUCCGAAGUGCUAGGAUCACAGAAGCCAUCAGGUGAGCAGCUUGCUUUAUCACAUGCUCCCAACCAUGAUGUUCUGCCUCACCACAGGUCUAAAUGCAACAGAACCAACUUACCACGGACUGAAACUUCCAGAACGGACAGGAAGAAACCAAAAGGCCAGAAGAAAUGCCUAAAUUCAGAUCACAGCGAAGAGAGCAGAUCAGCUAAGCAGAUACGGACAAGCGCCCACCUGGGAGAUGGAAGACCCUGGACCACCUAAAUAAAAGGAGCUUGGGACAAGAGUUAGAGGGCUUUCAGCGCUGACGCCCCCCACCACCUCACUGCAGCUGUCUAUUCUCUUUCUUCUCCAUCUCUUUCCCC
ensembl:lncRNA